rnacentral:rRNA from 1 species
GGCUCAGGACGAACGCUGGCGGCAUGCCUAACACAUGCAAGUCGAACGGAGCCAAUCGAAAGAUCCCUUCGGGGUGAAUUUGAGGAAGCUUAGUGGCGGACGGGUGAGUAACGCGUGGGUAACCCUGCCUCAUACAGGGGGAUAACAGUUGGAAACGACUGCUAAUACCGCAUAAGCGCACAGUACCGCAUGGUACAGUGUGAAAAACUCCGGUGGUAUGAGAUGGACCCGCGUCUGAUUAGCUAGUUGGUGAGGUAACGGCUCACCAAGGCGACGAUCAGUAGCCGACCUGAGAGGGUGACCGGCCACAUUGGGACUGAGACACGGCCCAAACUCCUACGGGAGGCAGCAGUGGGGAAUAUUGCACAAUGGGGGAAACCCUGAUGCAGCGACGCCGCGUGAGCGAUGAAGUAUUUCGGUAUGUAAAGCUCUAUCAGCAGGGAAGAAGAAUGACGGUACCUGACUAAGAAGCACCGGCUAAAUACGUG